GCGACCUUAGUCUAGUGGUUAGGACUCAAGCUUGCCAAGCUUGUAACGCGGGUUCAAAUCCCGCAGGUCGCA
rnacentral:tRNA from 1 species